CCAUAACAGAGCUGGAAGAGAGUUCAAAUUGAACACAUUGCUGGAUUUCAUUUUUCCUUGUGAGUAACAUUGACAUGAACAAGCAAAAUUCCAAAAUUCUUAUGAUGAUAUUCAUAAACAAAAACUCCUUAGCCUUCCAGGUUUGGAAUAAAUGAUCAGUCAAAUCCAAAAGAAUUGGAAGGGUCCUAUUUCCUUUCAUCUACAGAAAACCUUCUUCCCGAAUCAUUUUUAUUUCGACAGCAUGCAAGAAAAGGAAAUCGCUUGAUUUGAGCACCGGAUCCGAUGAUGAUGGCACAGUGAAGGCCAAAUUGCAAUGUACCGUCAUUAGUCAAUUUAUGCAUGGAACUUGCUGCUAACAUACUCGUAGCUGGGGACGUUAACAACAUCUCCAUAAGACGCCAUUGUUAGAGGAGAAGAAAGAAUCUUUUGUGCAAUGUUAGUAAUGUCCUUGGUAGUGAUUUCAUCCAAGGCCUUCAAGAAAUGUUCAACAGGCUUCCUUUCCCCGUAGGUCAAAAACUGCCUUCCUAAAUCUUCUGUCACAAUCAUUCGAGAUUCCAGAUUCAUCAGCACAGCAGAUUUUGUAGACUCUUUGGCACGAUCAAGUUGUAACUUGGAAACUUGUCCAGGCGCUGCAAUUGCAAUUAGUUCUCCAACUGCUAUGUCAACUGCUUUUGGCACAAAGUCUGGGGUAGUGCUGGCAUGGAUGCCAAACAAUCCGGUCUUAUUGAAGAUACUGUUGAAUGCAGAAAAAGAUUGGAGUUGUUGAUACUCAUUCAAGACUCGGAGAUACAGUCGUGAGUGCAUCCCUUUUCCAGGGCCCCCUGCGGAGAAUGACCCACCACCUCCCAUAAGCAUCUGAAGAACAGUCAAAAUUAUAGCUUCUUUCUCAUCAUGCCAGCCUCCAGGAACUUCAAAAGCAAGAGCAACAUGUGUCAUCGAUGAAUCAGCUUGGCGACGAUAAUCCCCACCAACAUACACAGAUUUUGGCCCUUCAGGACGUUGCACACGUGGGAGGUCAGAAAGCAGUGGCUCUGCAACAGAUAUAAGCUCCUCAAAUUCAACACCAGAAGCUGCAAGAACCAUUCGAGGAGCUGUAUAGUGCUCAGAAACAAAUUCCUCCAAAAUAACACCAUCUAAUCGAUUUAGUGCUGAUUCAGGAGCCAAAAGAGGAUU
rnacentral:misc_RNA from 1 species